AACCGACACAGGUAGGCGGGGAGAGAAUCCUAAGGUGCGCGGGAAAACCCUCGUUAAGGAACUCGGCAAAUUGCAUCCGUAACUUCGGGAGAAGGAUGACCCUGAGUAGGCGAAAGGGAGAAACCCCCGGAACAGAAAAGGGUGGCAGAAAAGAGGCCCAAGCAACUGUUUACCAAAAACACAGGUGCCUGCGAAAGCGAAAGCUGAAGUAUAGGUGCUGACGCCUGCCCGGUGCUGGAAGGUUAAGGAGAGAGGUCAGCGAAAGCGAAGCUUUGAACUGAAGCCCCAGUGAACGGCGGCCGUAACAAUAACGGUCCUAAGGUAGCGAAAUUCCUUGUCGGGUAAGUUCCGACCCGCAUGAAAGGCGUAAUGAUUUGGGCACUGUCUCAACGAGGGGCCCGGUGAAAUUGAAAUACCUGUGAAGAUGCAGGUUACCCGCGACUGGACAGAAAGACCCCAUGGAGCUUCACUGCAGCUUGAGAUUGAAUCCCGGUGACAUAUGCACAGGAUAGGUGGGAGGCUAAGAAGUAAUGCCUUUGGGUGUUACAGAGCCGAUGUUGGGAUACCACCCUUAUGUUGCUGAGAUUCUAACACGGAGACUAACAACCUCGUGGACCAUCUCAGGCAGGCGGUUUGACUGGGGCGGUCGCCUCCUAAAAUGUAACGGAGGCGCCCAAAGGUUCCCUCAGGCCGGACAGAAACCGGCCGAAGAGUGCAAAGGCAGAAGGGAGCUUGACUGCGAGACAGACAAGUCGAGCAGAGACGAAAGUCGGGCUUAGUGAUCCGGUGGUACUGAGUGGAAAGGCCAUCGCUCAACGGAUAAAAGCUACCCUGGGGAUAACAGGCUAAUCUCUCCCAAGAGUUCAUAUCGACGGGGAGGUUUGGCACCUCGAUGUCGGCUCAUCACAUCCUGGAGCUGGAGUAGGUUCCAAGGGUUGGGCUGUUCGCCCAUUAAAGUGGUACGCGAGCUGGGUUCAAAACGUCGUGAGACAGUUUGGUUCAUAUCCAUCGCGGGCGCAAGAAGUUUGAGGGAGGCCGCUCCUAGUACGAGAGGACCGGAGUGGACGGAUCAACGGUGUACCAGUUGUCACGCCAGUGGCACGGCUGGAAAGCCGCAUCCGGAAAGGAUAAACGCUGAAAGCAUCUAAGCGUGAAGCCCGUCCCGAGAUGAGACUUCUCAUCAGCAAUGAGUAAGACCCCUUAAAGACGAUGAGGUUGAUAGGCUGUGAGUGGAAGUGGCGCAAGUCAUGGAGCGACGCAGUACUAAUAGGUCGAGGUCUUAGC
rnacentral:rRNA from 1 species